UCGAGGAUCAUUCGCAAUGAGCGAAAGCUUGACGAUGCGACGCUGUGUGAGCGAUGAAGGCCUUCGGGUUGUAAAGCUCUUUCGCAUGGGAACAAGAGAAGCUAGUGAAUAACUAGCUAAUUUGAGGGUACUAUGUAAAGAAGCACCGGCUAACUCCGUGCCAGCAGCUGCGGUAAUACGGAGGGUGCAAGCAUUAAUCGGAUUUAUUGGGCGUAAAGGGCGCGUAGGCGGAUCUGUAAGUCAGAUGUGAAAUUCCAAAGCUCAACUUUGGAGCUGCAUUUGAAACUACAAGUCUUGAGGGAUGGCGGAGAAAACGGAAUUCCACGUGUAGCGGUGAAAUGCGUAGAUAUGUGGAAGAACACCGGUGGCGAAAGCGGUUUUCUAGCUUUUUCCUGACGCUGAGGCGCGAGAGCAAGGGGAGCAAACAGGAUUAGAUACCCCCGUAGUCC
rnacentral:rRNA from 1 species